GACGAACGCUGGCGGCGUGCUUAACACAUGCAAGUCGAACGGAAAGGCCCUGCUUUUGUGGGGUGCUCGAGUGGCGAACGGGUGAGUAACACGUGAGUAACCUGCCCUUGACUUUGGGAUAACUUCAGGAAACUGGGGCUAAUACCGGAUAGGAGCUCCUGCUGCAUGGUGGGGGUUGGAAAGUUUCGGCGGUUGGGGAUGGACUCGCGGCUUAUCAGCUUGUUGGUGGGGUAGUGGCUUACCAAGGCUGUGACGGGUAGCCGGCCUGAGAGGGUGACCGGCGACAUGGGGACUGAGAUACGGCGCAGACUCGUACGGGAGGCAGCAGUGGGGAAUAUGGCACAAUGGGCGGAAGCCUGAUGCAGCAACGCCGCGUGCGGGAUGACGGCCUUCGGGUUGUAAACCGCUUUCGCCUGUGACGAAGCGUGAGUGACGGUAAUGGGUAAAGAAGCACCGGCUAACUACGUG
rnacentral:rRNA from 1 species